UACGGAGGGUGCAAGCGUUAUCCGGAUUCACUGGGUUUAAAGGGUGCGUAGGUGGGCAGGUAAGUCAGUGGUGAAAUCUCCGGGCUUAACCCGGAAACUGCCGUUGAUACUAUCUGUCUUGAAUAUAGUGGAGGUGAGCGGAAUAUGUCAUGUAGCGGUGAAACGCUUAGAUAUGACAUAGAACAUCGAUUGCGAAGGCAGCUCGCUACGCUAUUAUUGACACUGAGGCACGAAAGCGUGGGGAUCAAACAGG
rnacentral:rRNA from 1 species